rnacentral:rRNA from 1 species
UACGAAGGGGGCUAGCGUUGCUCGGAAUGACUGGGCGUAAAGGGCGCGUAGGCGGAUGGCACAGUCAGAUGUGAAAUUCCCGGGCUUAACCUGGGGGCUGCAUUUGAUACGUGUGAUCUAGAGUGAGGAAGAGGGUCGUGGAAUUCCCAGUGUAGAGGUGAAAUUCGUAGAUAUUGGGAAGAACACCAGUGGCGAAGGCGGUUGCCUGGAGCUUUGCUGACGCUGAGGCGCGAAAGCGUGGGGGAGCGAUCCGG